rnacentral:lncRNA from 1 species
UCCUAGCCUCACAUUCCUAUUAACAGUAGGCAUUCUGAUACAGGUAUCAGGAUAUAUAUUUCAUGAUUUCUUUUUCAUAUGCUGAAAAGGGACCUACUUAAUGCUGUGAACUCGAUUUAUUUCUAGUCCUUUGUUAUGCUCAUAGUCAAUGUGACAUUAUAGAAAACCAUGUCAUACUAAUUACAAAAUCAUUUCAGUAACCCAAUAUUAUGGACUUUUUCCUUCCCUGAUAAUAUAGCCUUUUUGAGAUGAUCAGAUUACACUGGAGAGAAUUGCUGAGUGUAAAUAGUGGUGAAUUAUUCAAUUACCCAUCAUUAAUCUAUUGAACGAUAACCUCAAGAUAGAAAAUUCAAGGAAUUCUUCUAUGUAUUAAGAGCAUUAAAAUCCUCCUUUUCAACAACUCUUUCAGGGCCAGUCCUGAGAUCUUCCCGUGUCUCCUCAAGAUCUGCCUAUUCCCAGCCUUUAAUCCCAAUUGGAUGCUUCACAUCGGUCC